GGGUGCGAUCAUACCAGCACUAAUGCACCGGAUCCCAUCAGAACUCCGAAGUUAAGCGUGCUUGGGCGAGCGAGAGUAGUACUAGGAUGGGUGACCCCCUGGGAAGUCCUCGUGUUGCACCCC
rnacentral:rRNA from 1 species